AUUAUCAUAUUACAAACGUUUUUUACUAACAGGUUGGUGAUAUUGAAAACGUAAAUGGCAAUCAAAAAGGUUUUUGAAACACAAGCAUAAACAUUACAUAAACGUCUAAUGUAAUUCUUGUAAAAUAAAUACGUACUUGAGAUGGUUUUGUCACAUGCGUCGUUACAUCGUGACAACCUCUAACCUAACCGAUUGUGCCGGAAUGCAAAUGUUACCUCCGUCCGGAUCCUACUUAGCAGCUACAAGUACAACAGCCGGUACAGUAAAAUCUGAG